rnacentral:misc_RNA from 1 species
GAAAUGCGAUAAGUAAUGUGAAUUGCAGAAUUCAGUGAAUCAUCGAAUCUUUGAACGCACAUUGCGCCCCUUGGUAUUCCGGGGGGCAUGCCUGUUCGAGCGUCAUUACAACCCUCAAGCUCUGCUUGGAAUUGGGCACCGUCCUCACUGCGGACGCGCCUCAAAGACCUCGGCGGUGGCUGUUCAGCCCUCAAGCGUAGUAGAAUACACCUCGCUUUGGAGUGGUUGGCGUCGCCCGCCGGACGAACCUUCUGAACUUUUCUCAAGGUUGACCUCGGAUCAGGUAGGGAUACCCGCUGAACUUAAGC